AAUUACUGGGCGUAAAGGGCGUCUAGGCGGCCAGUCAAGUCGACGUUGAAAUUCCUCGGCUAAACUGAGGGAGGUACGUCGAAACUGACCGGCUAGAGGGACGUAGAGGUAAGCGGAACUCUCGGAGUAGCGGUGAAAUGCGUAGAGACCGAGAGGUACCCCGAUGGUGAAGACAGCUUACUGGGCGUCUCCUGACGCUGAAGCGCUAAGGCCAGGGGAGCGAAGGGGAUUAGAUACCCCCGUAGUCCUGGCUUCAAACGAUGUGGGCUUGGUGUCGGCCCCCUAUAGAGGGUCGUUGCCGGAGUUAACGCGUUAAGCCCACCGCCUGGGGAUUACGUCCGCAAGGAUGAAACUCAAGGGAAUUGACGGGGGCCCACACAACCGGUGGAGCACGUGGUUUAAUUCGAUGAUAAGCGAAGAACCUUACCAGGGCUUGACCUAGCGGUAGUAGGACCCCGAAAGGGGAACGACCUCAAGCUUUGCUUGAGGAGCCGUGGCAGGUAUUGCAUGGCUGUCGUCAGCUCGUGUCGUGGGACGUUGGGUUAAGUCCCGUAACGAGCGCAACCCCUGCCCUUAAUUGCCAACGGGUAAUGCCGGGUACUAUAAGGGGACUGCCGGAGAAUAUCCGGAGGAAGGAGGGGAUGACGUCAAGUCAUUAUGAUCCUUAUGCUCUGGGCGACACACGUGCUACAAUGGGCACUACAAUGAGGAGCGAUUCCGCAAGGAGGAGCAAAUCUCAAAAAGGUGCCCCCAGUGCGGAUUGGGGUCUGCAACCCGACCCCAUGAAGAUGGAAUCGG
rnacentral:rRNA from 1 species